ensembl:snRNA U2 U2 spliceosomal RNA
AUUGCUUCUCUGCCUUUGGGCUAAGAUCAAGUGUAGAAUAUAUGUCUUAGCUAUAGUACUAUUUAUCUAUAUCUAUAAUUUUGGCUAAAGUAGUAGGACCUGACACAUCUCACCUAAAUCCGUUGAAUUAUUCCUCCAAAUCAUUAUCCAAGGGUUAACAAGGGUUUACCUCUU